ACCUCGAUCAAGAGACGUCUCUUUGACAAGACAUGCUUCCUUACUAUUCCAUAGUUAUUCUCUAUAGCCAUAUGGAAUGUAAAGAAGUAUGUAUUGAUACUGGGGCCAUAACAUCAGCUACGUC
rnacentral:precursor_RNA from 8 species